UGUUGUUGUUUUUCUCGUCACCGCAGAGCAAGCACGUCGGUAACGGAAAUUCUUGUCAACAUUUUUCGCGCUCUACGUUUUAACGGCGCCCGGUCGUCGUCGCCGUUGCUGCCAACAUUGUCAACCGCAGCGGCGUCACAUCAAGACAAAAAAAAAAAAAAACCUCUGGGUUUUCCAUGGGAAAACACAACAUAUCGGUAUCUAACAAUUCGACACGCGCUCAUCUCUAACGGAUCAUAACAGAAAAGACUGCACCGCUCUGCCUUAAGCCUCGCCGCGGAAUACGUACGAAAACGGAGACGGAGACGGCGACGUCGACUGCAGCAGACAGAAGAGAGAGCCUGGACUAGAGACAUAAAGAUCAACGAAAGAGAGUGCGAUAGACCCAGAGAGAGAGAGAGAGCGAGAUAGAGCGAGAGAGAGACAGGCAGACAGGCUACACACACACACACACACACACACACACACACACACACACACACUCAAGAUGAGCUCUUAUCUGGAACUUUUUGGAUUGUUCGUGCUGCUAAUGCUGCCUUUUCUAUACGAGACGAACCACAUAUUCCGAUAUUAUUUCAAGUUUUUAAUCUAUUAUGGAAUCGUCUCGUUUAACUCGAUCAUUCUGAUACCGGCGUUUCUCACACGGCCCUGCGAUGUGCGCAAUUUACUCUGGGCGAGCAC
rnacentral:sRNA from 1 species